UCAGAACGAACGCUGGCGGCGCGUUUUAAGCAUGCAAGUCGAGGGGUAGAAAGUCUUCGGGACUUUUGAGACCGGCGAACGGGUGAGUAACACGUAGAUGAUCUGUCUCUGGAUGGGGGAUAGCCCAUGGAAACAUGGGGUAAUACCGCAUAAGCUCUCUUUUUCAUAAGGAGGAGAGAGGAAAGGCGCUUAGGGGUCGUCCGGAGAGGAGUCUGCGGUUCAUUAGUUAGUUGGUGGGGUAAAGGCCUACCAAGGCGACGAUGAAUAGCCGGCCUGAGAGGGUGAACGGCACACUGGGACUGAGACACGGCCCAGACUCCUACGGGAGGCAGCAGCUAAGAAUCUUCCGCAAUGGGCGAAAGCCUGACGGAGCGACGCCGCGUGAACGAAGAAGGCCUAACGGUUGUAAAGUUCUUUUCUUGGGGAGGAAUAAGCCUUGCAGGGAAUGGCAGGGUGAUGACGUUAACCGAGGAAAAAGCCCCGGCUAAUUACGUGCCAGCAGCCGCGGUAACACGUAAGGGGCGAGCGUUGUUCGGAAUUAUUGGGCGUAAAGGGCGCGUAGGCGGCAUAGCAAGUCAGGUGUGAAAGAUCUCAGCUCAACUGAGGAAACGCGCUUGAAACUGCUGUGCUGGAGUCUAGGAGGGGAAGCUGGAAUUCCUAGUGUAGGGGUGAAAUCUGUAGAUAUUAGGAAGAACACCGGUGGCGAAGGCGAGCUUCUGGCCAUAGACUGACGCUGAGGCGCGAAAGCGUGGGGAGCGAACAGGAUUAGAUACCCUGGUAGUCCACGCCGUAUACGAUGUGCACUGGGUGUCGGCCCGUUGGGGU
rnacentral:rRNA from 1 species